AAGACCGUACUAACUAGGAUCAUUUCUAUAGUAUGCGUCCUGUCAUUGUAAUUCUACAAAGACAACCCACCAAACCAUGAUGAUGAGCAGGAGUGGUGGUACCUGAGCGUGAUGCUUAACAUCCUAGAUAUCUUUCGAUAUCUAGUUUGUUAUAGAUGAUCGUUCUGUUUGUCCUAGAGAUGAGCAGAGGGUGCCGUCACCAGCUGAAUGGU